AAGUGCUGAAGGCCAAAGUCUGUCAAAAGAUUUCAAAAACAUUUCCACAGCAAAUAGUGAGCUAAAAAUGCCAGAAAACCCUCUAAAACCAGCCAGCUACACCAGCUAAACCACCCUAAGCUCAGUAGGGCAACAACAAACGGUCAGCUCGCCUUCGUGCCCUUAACUGGGAUGUAUUGGAACAUAUUGCCGUGCUAAGUGUUAGCGACAGCCCUGGCUGAUGUACUGCUCCUCUCCACCCACUGUGAUGCCCCCUGUGAGUAGCCCUGGACUCAGGAAGGAGAUGAGCUUGCGUGGUCUGUCUGGUUUACUGAGCUCCAGGAUGACUGUGGCUGGCUUAGGAUGGAACCAGGAACCAGCUCCAUUCUCUCACACAC